UGUUUAUGGGGGCACCCUGAUCUAGCCAUGCCGCGUGAGUGAUGAAGGCCUUAGGGUUGUAAAGCUCUUUCAGCUGGGAAGAUAAUGACGGUACCAGCAUAAAAAGCCCCGGCUAACUCCGUGCCAGCACCCGCGGGAAGAUAAUACCCGCCGCGGUAA
rnacentral:rRNA from 1 species